AGCCCAGUACUUUCAGGGAUCAUUUCUAUAGUUCAUUGCUAGAGAAGUUUCUCUAAUCCUGUAGAGCACCACAACGAGCCAGAGUAUCCUCUCCUGAGGAUGAAGACGGUUCUAGGUGUUGCUUUUGCAGCAGUCUUUUUACCACUGAUGACUGUUCUUCUCUUCCUUUGGCAGAGUGAGAAGAGGACACAGUCUAAGUGG
rnacentral:snoRNA from 1 species